CUUUCGAUUAUUAUAAUUAUUAUUAUUAUUAUUAUUAUUAUUAUAAUUGUUGUUUGUUGUUGUUAUUGUUGUUAACGUUACACUACUGUUGCUGCUAACUGCUGUUAACUACUGUUAUUACUGUUACUACUAAUCAAGAAGGUGUGUGUAUCUUAUUGUUGAUGGAUAUGGAUCUUCAUGGAUGCUGGAUAAUAUUAUCUAAA